rnacentral:rRNA from 1 species
UACGAAGGGGGCUAGCGUUGUUCGGAAUUACUGGGCGUAAAGCGCACGUAGGCGGACUACUAAGUCAGGGGUGAAAUCCCGGGGCUCAACCCCGGAACUGCCUUUGAUACUGGUAGUCUCGAGUCCGGAAGAGGUGAGUGGAAUUCCGAGUGUAGAGGUGAAAUUCGUAGAUAUUCGCAAGAACACCAGUGGCGAAGGCGGCUCACUGGCCCGGUACUGACGCUGAGGAGCGAAAGCGUGGGGAGCGAACAGG